rnacentral:lncRNA from 1 species
AAACUCCUAAAACCCCAAAUAACUUCAACUCACUCAAAGACCUAAGGAACAAAGUCUGUUCUGAAAAACUCUAGAAUUCUCUUGAGAUCUAUGGAAGAAUCAUUCCAAAGCCAUGAUCAGUAGUUGUAGCCGUAAAUUAUCACCACAAUCUGUGCCAAAUAGCUUUGGCAACCUGUAUGUAUAUAGCAUCUCGCUGCCGGUAGCUUUACAUCGUCGCCGGUACGUAACUGUAAAAUUCUAUUCGGUGACGCCGGUAAGUGUAUUUUCUUGGAUAAAUGUUUUAGCAAUCUUAGAUUUCGUGUAUUCCACCUACUGCUUGUUGCAGGUUAAAGCUCUGUUUUAAAAGGCGGAAUUAGGGGUCGCCCCAGAGCGGAACACUCGUAAAACGCCCCUGGGCUUAUGUGUGGGGUUUAGUUCCGUGAGACUUACGCUUCGGCCAUCGGGGCUUACGCUCCGGACAUGCGCAACACCCAGCGUACUGGACUCGCCUAAUAGAACUUUAUGCAAUUGUAUGUAACUAACCUUGUAAAUCCUCAA